AUAUUGCAUUCGCAGCUGGAUAUUGCGUUACGGGCAAACGAACACGGGACCCGUGCUUUGACGGUCGAUUGUGUACAAACGCACCGUUUUCGUAACACACUUAUGCUCCAUAAAUCGUGUGAAUUAUUAAUUAUUGCUAUACCAGGCAAUGGCUCGUCGGAGGAAAAAGAGCAACAGCGCGAGAGCAAUUUUCCGACGGUCGUUGGGUUUACAUACUCCUGAGAAUAGAGCGAAUUGCCUGGCUCAUUGGAUUCUAUCUCCGACCGUCGUCUAUCCUUCUGAGCAAUGCAUGAGAAUCCGAGAGAAUUCUUUCAUGGUAUGAAACUGGUUGAGAGAUCGAUCGUGUUUGGAUUCCACGAUGCCUGCCAUUCUUCCAAGA
rnacentral:misc_RNA from 1 species